rnacentral:rRNA from 1 species
CCAGCAGCUGCGGUAAUUCCAGCUCCGCAAGUGUAUUCCUAUACUGUUGCGUUUAAAUAGCUCGUAGUUGGAUCUGCGUGUUUAGCGCGCGGUGCCAUUUACUUUGGUGACUGUGACGCGACACAAUAUGCUGAUAUGAUACUCUCGCGAGUGUAAUGUCGGCAAGUUUACUUUGAACAAAUCAGAGUGCUCAAAACGGGCGUUUCGCUCGGAUGUUCUUGCAUGGAAUAAUGGAAUAGGACCGCGCGUUCUAUUUUGUUGGUUUUCGGGACGCGGGUAAUGAUUAAGAGGGACAGACGGGGGCAUUUGUACUGCGGCGUGAGAGGUGAAAUUCUUGGAUCGUCGCAAGACAGUCUACUGCGAAAGCAUUUGCCAAGAAUAUUUUCAUUAAUCAAGAACG